rnacentral:rRNA from 1 species
GACGAACGCUGGCGGCGUGCCUAAUACAUGCAAGUAGAACGCUGAAGAGAGGAGCUUGCUCUUCUUGGAUGAGUUGCGAACGGGUGAGUAACGCGUAGGUAACCUGCCUUGUAGCGGGGGAUAACUAUUGGAAACGAUAGCUAAUACCGCAUAACAAUGGAUGACACAUGUCAUUUAUUUGAAAGGGGCAAUUGCUCCACUACAAGAUGGACCUGCGUUGUAUUAGCUAGUAGGUGAGGUAACGGCUCACCUAGGCGACGAUACAUAGCCGACCUGAGAGGGUGAUCGGCCACACUGGGACUGAGACACGGCCCAGACUCCUACGGGAGGCAGCAGUAGGGAAUCUUCGGCAAUGGGGGCAACCCUGACCGAGCAACGCCGCGUGAGUGAAGAAGGUUUUCGGAUCGUAAAGCUCUGUUGUAAGUCAAGAACGAGUGUGAGAGUGGAAAGUUCACACUGUGACGGUAGCUUACCAGAAAGGGACGGCUAACUACGUGCCAGCAGCCGCGGUAAUACGUAGGUCCCGAGCGUUGUCCGGAUUUGUUGGGCGUAAAGCGAGCGCAGGCGGUUUGAUAAGUCUGAAGUUAAAGGCUGUGGCUCAACCAUAGUUCGCUUUGGAAACUGUCAAACUUGAGUGCAGAAGGGGAGAGUGGAAUUCCAUGUGUAGCGGUGAAAUGCGUAGAUAUAUGGAGGAACACCGGUGGCGAAAGCGGCUCUCUGGUCUGUAACUGACGCUGAGGCUCGAAAGCGUGGGGAGCGAACAGGAUUAGAUACCCUGGUAGUCCACGCCGUAAACGAUGAGUGCUAGGUGUUGGAUCCUUUCCGGGAUUCAGUGCCGCAGCUAACGCAUUAAGCACUCCGCCUGGGGAGUACGACCGCAAGGUUGAAACUCAAAGGAAUUGACGGGGGCCCGCACAAGCGGUGGAGCAUGUGGUUUAAUUCGAAGCAACGCGAAGAACCUUACCAGGUCUUGACAUCCCGAUGCUAUUUCUAGAGAUAGAAAGUUACUUCGGUACAUCGGUGACAGGUGGUGCAUGGUUGUCGUCAGCUCGUGUCGUGAGAUGUUGGGUUAAGUCCCGCAACGAGCGCAACCCCUAUUGUUAGUUGCCAUCAUUCAGUCGGGCACUCUAGCGAGACUGCCGGUAAUAAACCGGAGGAAGGUGGGGAUGACGUCAAAUCAUCAUGCCCCUUAUGACCUGGGCUACACACGUGCUACAAUGGUUGGUACAACGAGUUGCGAGUCGGUGACGGCAAGCUAAUCUCUUAAAGCCAAUCUCAGUUCGGAUUGUAGGCUGCAACUCGCCUACAUGAAGUCGGAAUCGCUAGUAAUCGCGGAUCAGCACGCCGCGGUGAAUACGUUCCCGGGCCU